ACGGCGAGUGAAGCGGCAAAAGCUCAAAUUUGAAAUCCUGCGGGAAUUGUAAUUUGAAGGUUUCGUGGUCUGAGUCGGCCGCGCCCAAGUCCAUUGGAACAUGGCGCCUGGGAGGGUGAGAGCCCCGUAUGGCGCACGCCGACUCUUUGCACCGCGGCUCCGACGAGUCGAGUUGUUUGGGAAUGCAGCUCUAAGUGGGUGGUAAAUUCCAUCUAAAGCUAAAUAUUGGCGAGAGACCGAUAGCGAACAAGUACAGUGAUGGAAAGAUGAAAAGCACUUUGAAAAGAGAGUGAAACAGCACGUGAAAUUGUUGAAAGGGAAGGGCUUGCAAGCAGACACGGUUUUACCGGGCCAGCGUCAAAUAAACGGGGGGGAAAAGGGGGAAAGAAUGUGGCGCGUGCCUUCGGGUUCGCGUGUUAUAGCUUUCUCUAAUACCCCCAUGUUUGUUUGAGGCCUGCGAUUCUAGGACGCUGGCGUAAUGGUUGCAAGCCGCCCGUCUUGA
rnacentral:rRNA from 1 species